GGGUCAGUAGGUUGGUCGUGCCACCGGUACGUACUGGCCUCACUGAUUCCUCCUUCCUGAAGAACCGUAAUGCCAUUAAUUUGGUGUUGCGGGGAAACAGGACUGUUACUUUGAAAAAAUUAGAGUGUUUAAAGCAAGCUAACGCUUGAAUACAUUAGCAUGGAAUAAUGAAAUAGGACGAUUGAUCCUAUUUUGCUGGUUUCUAGGAUUGACGUA
rnacentral:rRNA from 1 species